rnacentral:lncRNA from 1 species
UAUUUGUAUCUUAAAAUUAGAAGAAAAAUUUCCAUCUCCUAAGUAAAGAAAUUAUUUUCAGUUUGUAAUUUUUUUUUUUAAUUUACGUGUAUGUACUCACUAAGAAAGUACAUUUUCUAGGGGCUAAGGAUAUGGCUCAGUGGUAGAGCACUUGCCUAACAUACACAAAGCCUUGGGUUCAGUCCCUAGCCCCUGCCACAUAAAGGUACCUUUGUUGUACAGUGACCAAUCUUGAUUGUGUCAUUGAUGCUAUAGAUUUCCUUUUUCAGAACAGUGCUACAAUACAAAUUGUUGGCAAAGGAAAUGUAACUAUUUGGCACUAUUAUACCUAAGAGUAGAUUAAUUGGUUAAAAAUAAUUAUUAAUUAACUCUUAAUUGGGAUGAGCAUCCCUAAUUAGAUACAUAGUAGUUUAGAAAGUGAAAACUUCCUAAGUUAUUUAAGAUUAAUGUCCUAUUUAUAUAAUGUUUAGGUUCUAAGGAAGAAUUGUGGAUCCCUAACAAACAUCUUAGGAACAUCUUUUAGGAAGAAGAAUGGGGCUGUACUCUGACCUUAGUAAAGUUUGUAUGUAUAUUAUUUCAUUUUUUCAAGGUUUAUUGACAUGAAUUGCUUUAUCAGACUUAAUGUUUGUGGCUAGGAAUGAUGUUUACCUAUCUAGCUUUCUUAUAAAAGAUAAUUUGUUUAAAACCAUAUGUAUAGUAAAAUUAAAAGCAAAGCUAUUUGUUUGAAUUGGGGAGAGAGAAAAACAUUAUUAGCUUACACUUUCAUGUUGAGCUUGGAACCUGUCACGUGUACAAGUGAGCCUUCAGACCAUAGAUCAUUUUGAGAUAAAGACUAUGUGAACUCAGGCCCUACUGAAAAAAAGUGUGUAUCCACACAUACAUUAGAAAGUGUUGCAUGCACUCUCAAGAGACCCUGGGUGUGAUAAAACUUCCCAGACAGCAGGUUAAAGACCUACAUCCUGUGAGUCAAUUGCUAUAUCAAAGUAAGACCUUUGAUAUCCUUUGACUUUAUUGCACAGCGCUCAGAUGAGCACGUUUGUAAACAAGUAAUGAUCUGCUCUUGGAAUGAGCCCGUGAAAGCAACACAGCACAGACAUGUCUAUAACAUGAAAGCAGCACAACACAGACAUGUCUAUAACACUGUUCUAACGGCACUGGUGUCUUGUGAUUCUGAGGGCUCCUGAUGAGAGCUGUCACCAGACAGUCUUCACAGCAUGGAGCGUCUGAAGUCUGAAGGCCCUAUGCAAAGCAUGCAUUGAGGGAGGUUUGGCCUGGGUCCCUCCCACAGGUCAGAAAGACAGCCCUCUGACCUUCGGGCUCUUCACUCAGACUGACAUUUUCAUUUAGUGGUUUUACACCUGGAUCAUGUUCACAACGCAGGACUGCUAAGGUGCUGCCCCUCCCCACGACCAUGGUGCCUCAGAAUGUAAACACUAAUUCUACGUCCUUCUUUGCUUCCCUCGGACAGUAUAAGCUUCUAGCGUUUGUCUGAGGCAGUAUACAAGGAUUCGGUAUCUGCAAUUUUAGUAUUUUGUUCACAAUUUUAACAUUUUGGAUGCUCAUGUUGGUUAUUUUACCCCUGACUACACCCAGUUCUCCCAGCAUAGGAGUUGCUGCUUUCUGAGCAAACAAUGAGCACAGCAUAGAAAACAUAGACACUUAAUUAAAACGGCAAAGACGCUGCUCUCCAGCUCUCCCCUAGAACCCGCCGUCUCCUGUGCGUGCCCCUUCAGUGUGUAUCAGUGGUAUUUAUAAAAUGUGCUCUAUAAUUAUGUGCUUGUACAUACUGGUAUAUGUUGUGCAGUGAUGUCCUGAGGCAGGCCCUGUUGCUGUAUCUGUCCUACCUUCCUAUUUGUAAUAGAAACUAUAGAAUGUAUGACUAAGAAGUCACUUUGAGAUUGACUUUUAUAAAAAGUUAUUUACCUUCUGCUGUUGAGAAGUGCAAAACUGUGAGUGGAAAUGUUUUAUUCUGAUUUAAUAAUAUGUUAGAAAUUAGAAACCCAGUGGGAGGAGUUUUUAGAUAUGCUGCUGCUGUUACCCAAGGUACUUUAGAAAUUUUCCUUUAAUAAAAAAAUUCCUUUGAUAUUUAAAGUAAAACAGUCUGUUUUUGAAUCUAAAACUGUAAUUUGGGUCAACAUAUUGGUCUAUUUGUAAAGUGCCUUAGUAUAUUCCUUUGUGGAGGGCACUACCCAGUUUACUUUUAUAUUGUCUUAUGUAUAUAAGGGUUUUAUAUUACAAUGGAAUCAAUGGCAACACUACCAUUUUAUAAAACAGUGCUUUGCUAGGAAAAAUUACAGCUUUGCAAUAUAACAACUGUUUUUGGAUAUUUCUGAAUGUACUAGAACAAAUAAUCAGUCUGUUUUUAAUGAAUCUAUUUGUAUUUUCCCAAUCAUUCCCUCUAGUGUAAUAUUUGCUGGGAUAAUAAAAAAGGCAAACUUCAAAUUUUUUCAAUUAUGACUGG